UCACUGGUACAAAAUUAAAAAAAAUCAAAU
rnacentral:sRNA from 1 species